rnacentral:rRNA from 1 species
CAGCACCUCAAGUGGUCAGGAUGAUUAUUGGGCCUAAAGCAUCCGUAGCCUGUUCUAUAAGUUUCCGGUUAAAUCCAUUAGCUCAACUAAUGGGCCGCCGAAAAUACUGUGGAACUAGGGAGUGGGAGAGGUAGACGGUACUCGGUAGGAAGGGGUAAAAUCCUUUGAUCUAUUGAUGACCACCUGUGGCGAAGGCGGUCUACCAAAACACGUUCGACGGUGAGGGAUGAAAGCUGGGGGAGCAAACCGGAUUAGAUACCCGAGUAGUCC